UACAGAGGGUGCAAGCGUUAAUCGGAAUUACUGGGCGUAAAGCGUGCGUAGACGGUUAUGUAAGUCGGGUGUGAAAGCCCCGGGCUCAACCUGGGAAUGCCAUUCGAGACUGCAUAGCUAGGGUGCGGAAGAGGGAAGCGGAAUUUCCGGUGUGAGCGGUGAAAUGCGUAGAUAUACGGAAGGAACACCAGUGGCGAAAGCGGCUUCCUGGUCCAGCACCGACGUCAGGCACGAAAGCGUGGGGAGCAAACAGG
rnacentral:rRNA from 1 species